UCUAUUUUACCCUCACUCAACCCAAGCGAAAUGCCCAUUACACCCUUGAUGCCCUAAGAUAUUCUAGGUUUUCAUUUUUUUGAGCCUCAUAGCCGCGCCCCUCUCUCUGCUAUGGCAGAAAAUAUUUUGUUUCCUUCUCCAUUUUUUGAUAAAGUUUGACCUCUACAUCGAAAAUCAGAUAUUGUAUGUACAUUACGAGUAAACCUCUGUGAAGAUAAAAAGGACGAUUCAGAGAUGGCUGACAAAAGGAUUCAAAUUUCUUUCCUCUUUUCUGCAAUAGAACCAAGCAAGGCAAAAGCUAUACAAUUUGAUUUCUCUUGUUUUUCGCCAUUUUCGGCAUCAAGACCUCUGUCCCCUUUUCCUUUCUCUUCAAUGUUGCUGCAAACCUACGCCAAUUAGUCCAUUUUGAAACCCCAAAUUAUGCCUAAAAUCCCGCCCAAAAAAUGUAGAAGAAGAACCCUAGCUCGCAGCUAUAAAUAUCACCCUUUGGCAUUCAUUUGAGUGGGUUGAACAACCGCUACAUCUCACUUUAAAUGAAAAACAGCCGCAUAUCACUCUAAACUAUUAUAUUUCACCUUUCUGUUUGAAACUUUUGGUUAAUCUAAGAGUGUUAGGGCUCGUCAUCUUUUGAGUGUGGAUCCGGGACCUAAAAGCUCUAGUUCACUGCACUCGAGAAAGAGUCUCGUAUUGAGACUCAAUAUGGCUGCCGCUAAGCCGAAGACCUGCAUUUACACCUUCUUUGCCCCUUUCACUCCCACUAUACCUCCAAGCAGAAUGAUGGGCGAUGAAGCCUCUGUCACUUAUUUACUUAUGUUCUAGUUUUGCCUUUAUUGGGUUCUGUGACAAACUUGUUUUUUUUUUUUAAUGUUUCUAGCUUGUUCUUGAUUCUCUUAAUAUAAUUAUAGGACCAGUGCUAGUAUUAACUUAAAAAGGGUAGUUGUUAUGUGGGAAAACCAGUAGCUUAUUUUUUUUUUCCUCUUUUCAUAUUGGUAGCCGAUCUUUAUAUAGAUAGUAACUUUUUUUUUAUCACUGGUGUAUUGCAAAGAAGCAAACAUGAUUUGGUUCUUGGACUGAUUACAAAUUGGUUUUCCAGAA